CUCUUGCAUUUCUCACGAGCAUCCUAUGCUAAUAAACUCACUCUCUACGUAUUGCCUUGCUUCACACUGAAUUCUUUCUACAUUGAGACAAGAGAACCUGAGCUUCAGUAAGUCCUGAGACCAGGUCAUCGACUUCCCAUGUGUACGAGUAACUGAUCAUGACUUAGUCAUGAAAGAAGCACAAUUACAGCAGUGAAAGUGAGGCACUUACAGUUGGCUGUCCCGAGGUGCCCCCACUUCUGAGGUGGUGACAGUGAGAAGUGACUUAAGGGCAGGAUUGCCUGAUGGGUGACCUGGCGUUGAAGGGGAC